rnacentral:rRNA from 1 species
UACGAAGGGGGCUAGCGUUGCUCGGAAUCACUGGGCGUAAAGCGCACGUAGGCGGCUUCUUAAGUCAGGGGUGAAAUCCUGGAGCUCAACUCCAGAACUGCCUUCGAUACUGAGAGUCUUGAGUCCGGGAGAGGUGAGUGGAACUGCGAGUGUAGAGGUGAAAUUCGUAGAUAUUCGCAAGAACACCAGUGGCGAAGGCGGCUGC